CCAGAGAUGUUCUGCAAACCUGGAGGAAAACAACAUCACUCUUCGUUCCCGUUUAGUCCAAGCGUGAUCUCAGCCAUCGGACAUGUUGUUAUAAAGUGCCGGCCUGGCAUCUGGAUUUAAGAAGCCUGCUGAGUCAGUGCUGAGCGUUGCACAACACUGCUCAGUGGAAUCGUGUGAAACGUUAGCCUUGAUCCUCUGAGCCUAAAUCAGAUGACACGCGGCUGAGGACGCUGGGUAAUCUCGGCUCUGGAGCGCGGAGUCAAACCUAAAGAGGAGCCAUCAAUGCAAAAGAAAAGAACUCGUGGAGUUUCUACUGUGAGAAAAAUCGGAGAAGAAUGACAAAAUCCAUGCCGGCUGUGAUUAAUGAAACUGAUGUCAAGGGACGGAUCCCACGGCAGCCAUCUUUAAAAGCCUCGCACAAAAAAAAAUAAAACAAAAAAGCGAUGAUUUUCAACAGUCCUCUAACACGAUCCAUUAAAAUUCCUGCCUUUUGCACUGAUACGAUCAGCUGAAGUCCAGACUGGACAUAAUGAGCCAGCAGAGGAUCACAUAACAUGGCCGGCUAGUUAAUUAUGUGAACUAAGGCAUGUUGUCUUAUCUAAAUGCGCUAAAAAUAGCCUGCUGACAUGGCUGAACCGCUGGCUGCAUCACCCAGGAGGAUGGAAACACUUUUGUUUUUAAGCCUAAUGAACAAACCAUCAACUGCCACUCACAGGAUAUCUAAAAAUCACUUCACACUCGCUCUAAAUCGUCAGGCUACAUUUGAGAGGAACAACGUUGAACAAGCAUCCACUUUAAGCUGCUCCUCCCAUAGAAAAUGUGUUUAAAAGGAUAAGGACGCCAUUGGUUUUUGAGUUUUGGUCCGUCCUUCGCAUGUGGGCUGAAGGAAUCCACAGAUACAGUCAAGUCUUACCACAGAGACGGUCUUGGAGAGCAGGUCCAGAACUUUUAUUUGAUGGUUGUUGGUGUCUGCCACAUAAAGCAGCUUCCCCUCACCGCCAACGCAGAUUCCUCCAGGUUCAUUAAAGCAGGAUUCAGUCAAUUCUGGACCCAAGGAAUCUCCGGCCUCUCCGGUCCCUGCUAGCGUGCUGCAAACCUUUGUCUUCGGAUCCACCACCUUGAUCUGACGCACGUAAUCAAACCAGACCAAAACUGCUUUAACAACAACAGCCUGGGGUAAAUGCAAGAACCAUAAACCAAAGCGACCCCGUGACGUGCGUCGGCUACCUUGUGGUUGUAGGAGUCCGCCACAUAAAGCAAGCUUUGUCGAGGAGACCAAGCCACACCGAGAGGAUGCUGCAGUUUGGCUUCCACCCCUUUGCCGUCUGCAUCCCCAAAAGCAAAAAGGUUCUAGAUCACAGAAGAGAAAAAAGAUGUUCACAUGAUAUUAAACAAAAAUAUUUAAAAAAAAAGCCUUGAAACUGCAUCUUUGUUUGCCCCAAAUCAUAAGAUCAGAAAAGAAAAAAGAAAAAGAAAAGGUGAAAUAUCUGUUGAAAACAGGUUGAUGAUUAUCAAUGAGGACAAGUUUGUUUCUUUUUAACAAAUAUCCAUCUUUACGCACCAGAGCAGUUCCUACUAGACCAAAGUUCAAACUGUAGAAAAAAAACUUCUGAGAUUUAGAAAGCAGGAUGUCAGGAUAUAUAAAUAUCAAUUACACACACAAAAAAUCUGAAAGAAACUUCUUUUUUUGUUGUUGGUGGUACAUCAAGAGGAAAAAACUGCAGUAAAUGUGGCUGCAAAUCAACUGAAACCUUGCAAAUAAAUCACUAUUACAGGAAAUAUAUUUUCAGUUUGUGAGAAAUUGGGGACAACUUUUUAUAUGUAUAACUCUAAAUCAGCACCAUUGAACAUUUUUUGUGUAAUUAGGAGCAAAAAGCCGUGUCACACUUACAUUUUGCAUGGAUGAAAGUUGGUCAUACAUGAAAUACAGUUGCUUUUUUAGCUUAUUUUUGUCUAUUUGGAAGCUUGUACGGAACUUUCCUUGAUUCUAGAUAAUAUAAGAUUUCUGGUAAAGUAGAUCAUUUUACUAUUUUCAGGCGAUUUUUUUAUAUUCUAUUUUCUAUUAGUGUUAUUUCACUUAAAAAACUAUAUUCAACAAAAAAUACUCAUCAUAACGUUUAUUUUAUUUUCAGGUUUAAACGAAAAUAUUAAUAUUUUUUAGAGUAGUUAGAGUUGUCAGAAGUGUUGGAUUUCUCCAAAAAAUACAAACAGUAUACAGUUCAGAAAUCCUGCAGGAAAACAAAAGCGCCUCUUUCUAAAAUAGAUCUUCAGGGGCAGCAGCAAAAAAAAAAAAAGUAUUUUUUUCUUUGUUGUUUUGU